rnacentral:rRNA from 1 species
UACGAAGGGUGCAAGCGUUACUCGGAAUUACUGGGCGUAAGGCGUGCGUAGGUGGUUCGUUAAGUCUGAUGUGAAAGCCCUGGGCUCAACCUGGGAAUGGCAUUGGAAACUGGCGACCUAGAGUGCGGUAGAGGGUAGUGGAAUUCCCGGUGUAGCAGUGAAAUGCGUAGAGAUCGGGAGGAACAUCCGUGGCGAAGGCGACUACCUGGACCAGCACUGACACUGAGGCACGAAAGCGUGGGGAGCAAACAGG